GACGAACCGUGCGAACGUUAUUCGGAAUCACUGGGCUUAAAGCGCGUGUAGGCGGUCUGUCAAGUCCGGGGUGAAAGCCCCCAGCUCAACUGGGGAAGUGCCUCGGAUACUGGCGGACUCGAGGGAGGCAGGGGUCGUGGGAACUUCCGGUGGAGCGGUGAAAUGCGUUGAUAUCGGAAGGAACGCCGGUGGCGAAAGCGCACGACUGAUCCUCUUCUGACGCUGAGGCGCGAAAGCCAGGGGAGCAAACGGG
rnacentral:rRNA from 1 species